rnacentral:rRNA from 1 species
GUAAAGUGGCGCACGGGUGAGUAACGCGUGGAUAAUCUGCCCUGUGAUCUGGGAUAACACUUCUAAAGGGGUGCUAAUACCGGAUAAGACCACGGAGUCUUAGGACUCUGCGGUAAAAGGUGGGGACCUUCGGGCCUACCGUCAUCGGAUGAGUCCGCGUACCAUUAGCUAGUUGGUAGGGUAAGAGCCUACCAAGGCGACGAUGGUUAGCUGGUCUGAGAGGAUGAUCAGCCACACUGGAACUGAGACACGGUCCAGACUCCUACGGGAGGCAG